rnacentral:lncRNA from 1 species
UCAGAUGCAUUACUUUUUAGCUCACCUGGCCCGAAGGGCCAAGUGAGCUUUUCUCAUCACUUGGCGUCCGGCGUCCGUCGUCGUCCGUCGUCGUCCGUCGUCGUCCUGCGUCCGUCGUCGUUAACUUUUACAAAAAUCUUCUCCUCUGAAACUGCUGGGCCAAAUUUAACCAAACAUGGCCAAAAUCAUUAUUAGGGUAUCUAGUUUAAAAAUUGUGUCCGGUGACCCGCCA